CAAGACUGGAGUGACCCUCUGAACAUCUACUUCCAGGCAGAUCUAAAGGAGGUAUGUCUAAAUCUCCAGGUCUGGAUGAAGAUGGAAGCUACAUCAUGUUCAAGUUCCAGCAGCCGUCCCAUUCUGGCUUUGAGGAACUCCGAGAACUUGCAGCUCAUGGACAAUCGGUAGCCUUCGACUUGAAGAAACUCCCAAGCCGGGGAGCAGACAGCAAUCUCGCCCCAAGGGAGCUUCUGGUUUGAUAGUGGAGACGCUGAAAACACUAGCCUAAAGGGGACUCCUCGCUCCUCUUGCCACAUACACAGAUGGCAAUGCACAUCCACGGAGCUCCUGCCCACUGAGCAGGAAGGAUGAAGAGAGCCUCCUCUAAACACAGAAUGCCCUGAACCACCAUGGUACCACAAACCAUUCCUGGAGACAUCAUCUCAUCUCAGCCCCAGCCUUUCCCUCCCCUGGACUGACCUUGAGGCCAUCUAGGUAAAGCGAUGCCCUUAUCUCUAGGCAACCAUAUCCUGGAAGAAACCACCUGGACCACGGGACACUUUUGUGCCUCUGAGAUCGGAAGUGGAAUGAAGGAGGCCUAUUCGGAAAGCGACCUGUGGCCUGGGGAGAUGGUUUCAUGGGUAAAAUGUCCACUGGGCAAGCACAAGGAGCUGGGGUCAGAUGCCCAGCACUCGCAGGGGAUAGAGGCAGAUGAAUCUCCAGGACUUAGUGGCCAGCCUGGCCAAAGCAGGGUGCUUCAGGUUCAAUGAGAGACCUUGUUUCACAAACACGUAUUUCUGUGCUAUGUGUCAUCCUAAGAUGCCUCUAACAUCACGCCAUAAAAGUGUG
rnacentral:lncRNA from 1 species